rnacentral:tRNA from 1 species
AGAAAUAUGUCUGAUAAAAGAGUUACUUUGAUAGAGUAAAACAUAGAGGCAAAACCCUCUUAUUUCUA